GACGAAGGGGGCUAGCGUUGUUCGGAAUUACUGGGCGUAAAGCGAGUGUAGGUGGUUGUCCAAGUUGGAUGUGAAAGCCUUGAGCUCAACUCAAGAAAUGCAUUCAGGACUGGGCGACUAGAGGACCGGAGAGGAUAGUGGAAUUCCCAGUGUAGUGGUGAAAUACGUAGAGAUUGGGAAGAACACCAGUGGCGAAGGCGGCUAUCUGGACGGUUUCUGACACUAAGACUCGAAAGCGUGGGGAGCAAACGGG
rnacentral:rRNA from 1 species